UACGAAGGGGCUAGCGUUGUUCGGAAUCACUGGGCGUAAAGCGCACGUAGGCGGAUUGUUAAGUCGGGGGUGAAAUCCUGAGGCUCAACCUCAGAACUGCCUCCGAUACUGGCAAUCUCGAGUUCGGAAGAGGUUGGUGGAACAGCUAGUGUAGAGGUGAAAUUCGUAGAUAUUAGCUAGAACACCAGUCGGCGAAGGCGGCCAACUGGUCCGAUACUGACGCUGAGG
rnacentral:rRNA from 1 species